UACCAGCUCUCCGAGUGGUAGGGAUGAUUAUUGGGCUUAAAGCGUCCGUAGCUGGCUUAGCAAGUCCUCCGUUAAAUCCAACGAUUCAAUCGUUGGACUGCGGGGGAUACUGCUGGGCUGGGGGACGGGAGAGGCCGACGGUAUUCUCGGAGUAGGGGUGAAAUCCUAUAAUUCCGGGAGGACCACCAGUGGCGAAGGCUGUCGGCUAGAACGAGCUCGACGGUGAGGGACGAAAGCUGGGGGAGCGAACCGGAUUAGAUACCUGGGUAGUCCCAGCUGUAAACGAUGCAGGCUAGGUGUUAGGGUGGCCACGAGCCACUCUAGUGCCGCAGCGAAGGCAUUAAGCCUGCCGCCUGGGGAGUACGGCCGCAAGGCUGAAACUUGAAGGAAUUGGCGGGGAGCACCACAAGGCGUGAAGCGUGCGGUUU
rnacentral:rRNA from 1 species